CGCACACCACGGCUGCCGCGGCAACAAGGAGGAGGAGUACGGAGAGGGAAAGGAGACGCAGCGGCAUGCUGGACUGUGAAGGUGAAAUGUAACCAUCUCUGAAUGUGGAGAAGAUGGGACUGAAAGGAAAGCGGAGGAAAUAAAGACGUGAAAACUGCAUUUGUGUUGAGAGGUAAGAGAACAAAUGUGGGUAAAAAGCUCAAUUAAAGGAAAUCACCGCACUCAGCAAAGGUAAACCACCUACGCCUGAUCCCCGAGCAGACUCAGGAAGAGAGUAGGCGGACAAAAAUUAACUCCAAUUCAGAAAACAAACGACUCCAUUAGAUGUUCAACAAUCUAAUACAAACUUAUGAAAUUAAAGUUGGGAACAAGCAAAACAUUUCAAAAAGUUGGAAUAAUAAUUGGAAGGAGCCGAGGGACCAGAACUAUGGCAACAACAGAUCUGCAUCUCCAGAUCCCCAUCCAGUUUGGCACAAAGGUUACUCAUGGUUAUGUAUUUCAUGGCAGUCAGGAAGUGAGUCCAGUCCGCAGCUGAAAAAGGAGAAAAUGUUCCUGUGAUGGAGGGGCUGCUGCGCCCGUUUCCCAAAUCAAUCAGUCAGGGAGACGAACUGAUGCUGUGAUUCAGUGAAGGCUAAGAGGGGAAAGCUUCACGGCUUCAGUCCAGACGAUUCCAGAGAUUCAACAUCAGUUUAUGGUCUGUCCAGUUUGCCUAAACUAAGCUGGACUUGUUUUUGUCUUUGUAUCUAAAUGUUAUCUUUACUUAGGGCUGGGCGAUAUGACAUGUGUUUUUUCAAACCGGAUGCGAUUUUAAUUGAUUCCCACUUUCUUUUCUAAAAAGGAAAUUACAAAUGACAGAAAACAUUUCCAAAGAAUGAGCUUUUAUCUCAGUCUUUCCCUCUUUGAGUUGUACGACGGGGUAUUAGCGCCAGCCUGCGACAACUUUAGCGAAAUAAAGACACAAUUUACCAGAAGAAAGCUGGAUGGUAAGCAGCUUUUACUAUCCAGUUAAUGACUGGUGAAAUAAUAAAAUAAUCAAUAGAUUAGUCGUGCUUUGUACUGAUG